GAUGAACGCUGGCGGCGUGCUUAACACAUGCAAGUCGAACGGAAAGGCCCAAGCUUGCUUGGGUACUCGAGUGGCGAACGGGUGAGUAACACGUGGGUGAUCUGCCCUGCACUUCGGGAUAAGCCUGGGAAACUGGGUCCAAUACCGGAUAGGACGAUGGUUUGGAUGCCAUUGUGGAAAGUUUUUUCGGUGUGGGAUGAGCUCGCGGCCUAUCAGCUUGUUGGUGGGGUAAUGGCCUACCAAGGCGUCGACGGGUAGCCGGCCUGAGAGGGUGUACGGCCACAUUGGGACUGAGAUACGGCCCAGACUCCUACGGGAGGCAGCAGUGGGGAAUAUUGCACAAUGGGCGCAAGCCUGAUGCAGCGACGCCGCGUGGGGGAUGACGGCCUUCGGGUUGUAAACUCCUUUCGCUAGGGACGAAGCGUUUUUGUGACGGUACCUGGAGAAGAAGCACCGGCUAACUACGUG
rnacentral:rRNA from 1 species